UCCUCUCUAGCUCAGUGGGUAAAGAAUCCACCUGCGAUGCAGGAGACCCCGGUUCGAUUCCUGGGGGGGGAA
rnacentral:tRNA from 1 species